rnacentral:rRNA from 1 species
AACGAACGCUGGCGGCGUGUUUAAGACAUGCAAGUCGCACGGGAUAAGACAUGUAGUAAUACUUGUUUUAUUUAGUGGCGCAUGGGUGAGUAACACGUGAAUUACAUGCCCUAUAGUGGGGAAUAGCCCAGGGAAACUUGGAUUAAUACCCCAUGGUAUCGAAAGAUUAAAGGUGGCCGCAAGGCUGUCGCUAUAGGCUUGGUUCGCGCCCUAUCAGCUUGUUGGUGAGGUAACGGCUCACCAAGGCAAUGACGGGUACCUGGUCUGAGAGGACGAUCAGGCACACUGGAACUGAGACACGGUCCAGACACCUACGGGUGGCAGCAGUCGAGAAUAAUUCACAAUGGGGGCAACCCUGAUGGUGCAACGCCGCGUGGAGGAUGACGGUCUUCGGAUUGUAAACUCCUGUCAUCUGGGAGAAAGACCUGACGGUAAAUAGCCGGCAGGGUUGAUAGUACCAGAAGAGGAAGGGACGGCUAACUUCGUGCCAGCAGCCGCCGCCG